AUUGAACGCUGGCGGCAGGCCUAACACAUGCAAGUCGAGCGAGCGGCGGACGGGUGAGUAAUGCCUGGGAAUUGCCCAGUCGAGGGGGAUAACAGUUGGAAACGACUGCUAAUACCGCAUACGAUUGGAUUGCCCAGGUGGGUUUAGCUAGUUGGUGGGGUAAUGGCUCACCAAGGCGACGAACCCUAGCUGGCCUGAGAGGAUGUCCAGCCACACGGGAACGCGGACACGGUCCAGCCUCCUACGGGAGGCAGCAUUGGGGAAUAUUGCACAAUGGGGGAAGCCCUGAUGCAGCCAUGCCGCGGGUGUGAAGAGGGCCUUCGGGUUGUAAAGCACUUUCAGCGAGGAGGCGUUACUCGCCGAAGAAGCACCGGCUAACUCCGUGCCAGCAGCCGCGGUAAUUC
rnacentral:rRNA from 1 species